GAUGAGCACUAGCUACAGGCUUAACACAUGCAAGUCGAGGGGUAACGAGAGGAAAGCUUGCUUUCCUUGUCGACGACCGGCGCACGGGUGAGUAACGCGUAUCCAACCUGCCCCCAACUAGGGAAUAACCCUGCGAAAGUAAGACUAAUACCCUAUAAUUUCCUCAGAUGUCAUCUGACGAGGAAUAAAGAUUUAUCGGUUGUGGAUGGGGAUGCGUCUGAUUAGCUUGUUGGCGGGGUAACGGCCCACCAAGGCAACGAUCAGUAGGGGUUCUGAGAGGAAGGUCCCCCACAUUGGAACUGAGACACGGUCCAAACUCCUACGGGAGGCAGCAGUGAGGAAUAUUGGUCAAUGGGCGGAAGCCUGAACCAGCCAAGUAGCGUGCAGGAUGACGGCCCUAUGGGUUGUAAACUGCUUUUAUACAGGAAUAAAGUUAGCCACGUGUGGUUAUUUGUAGGUACUGUAUGAAUAAGGACCGGCUAAUUCCGUGCCAGCCGCCGCUGUAA
rnacentral:rRNA from 1 species